rnacentral:rRNA from 1 species
GAACGAACGCUGGCGGCAUGCCUACCCCCUGCAAGUCGACCGAGACCUUCGGGUCUAGUGGCGCACGGGUGCGUAACGCGUGGGAACCUGCCCUUAGGUUCGGAAUAACUCCCCGAAAGGGGUGCUAAUACCGGAUAAUGUCUUCGGACCAAAGAUUUAUCGCCUUUGGAUGGGCCCGCGUUGGAUUAGCUAGUUGGUAGGGUAAAAGCCUACCAAGGCGACGAUCCAUAGCUGGUCUGAGAGGAUGAUCAGCCACACUGGGACUGAGACACGGCCCAGACUCCUACGGGAGGCAGCAGUGGGGAAUAUUGGACAAUGGGCGAAAGCCUGAUCCAGCAAUGCCGCGUGAGUGAUGAAGGCCUUAGGGUUGUAAAGCUCUUUUACCCGGGAUGAUAAUGACAGUACCGGGAGAAUAAGCUCCGGCUAACUCCGUG